UGAAGAAAGGGUUCAAGCUUUUCUAUCCUUUAGCUUUAGGUCAUGUUGUCCUGUGUAAAUGUUUACCAUUAUCUUUGAGGGUUUCUCAAAUAGUACCAUGUAUAGAGGAGCUCAUAUUAUUUGAUAAAUUAGCAUUUUCUUAACAAGUCUUUAAUAUAAAAGACAAGUAAUUUUUUGAAAUUUCCAAAGUUUUAGGUGAUGUUAAAGAAAACCUAAUGUGAUAGAGUUCUGAAUAGUUUUUUAAUUGACAGGUUCAACUAUAAAAAUAGAUGAAAUUGUAAAGUAAAUUGGUUUCUGAUUUUAUUCUCACAUGUUGUAUAGUCUCUGUCCAAUUUGUAUGGUCUCCUUGUAGCUGAGCUAUACGUAUCUGGCAUUGCUAUGCUUGACAGCCAAACUCACAGUGAGGCCCAGAGCUAACGGAAGUGUAGGCAGGAAAUAGUCACUGAGUCAUGUCAUGGGAAUGCAUGGCUAGUGGGGUUUGAUAACAUUCAGAUAGACCGCACUGUUGAUUUUGGAAGAUUUGUCGUGGGAACCCUAAGUAGAGUCCUUUUGGGGUGCAUUUUUUUAAUGUUUCCUACUGAGUUUAAACAGUUUGGGCUAGUUAUUUCUUUUUUUGGUGCAGCAGCAAAGAAUAACCUGACAUAGUGACCUCUAUAGAGUGUAUCAUAUAAACUCCCUGUUGGCAAUUGUCCUAAAUGGCCAACUGAUCACUCUUAUUUUGCUAGCUAUAGGAAAACAAAGCAAAACAAAAAUUUCAACAAAAAAGCUAUCUUGCUCAAGCCUCUGUGUAGUUGCAUUGUGGUUAUAAUCCCAAUCCCAGUCCUGUUGACCACUGCUCUCUAUCUUCAGCAAUCUUCUCAUUGAUAGUAAACAAUGACCCAAUGCAAUGUGUCAAAAACUGUGAAAGCUGAUGCACGAAGGAGGAGGUAGAGUAGGAGGGCCUUAAAUGCUGAUGGUUUUAAGUCCUUUUCACAUACACUGUGUCUUCCAAGUGUUGGUUCAUUCAUUCAAAUCAAAUCUUUAUGGGAGACAGACUAAAUGCAAGGUAUCAUUCUAAGGGCUGGGGAUACAAAGGUAAAAGCAAAACCUCUGCCUUCCUAGAACUUAGACUAUUCAGGUGAGAAAAUAAUACACAAAACAAGUAGAAUAUGUUAUAUGCUUAAUGGUGAUAAGUGUGUGGGGGGGGGCAUUUUCCCAAGAUCUGGUCCCCGUUCAUCAGUUGAGCCCAGCACAGAACUUGCAUUUUAAUCUUUACUACAAACAGGCUACCCAUCUGCCACUGGUGAAACCUGUGUCAUGUCAUAAGCAUGUCACAUGGCCAGAUAGUAUAGUAAAUACCUACUAUCAUCCUUCAAUGUACAAUUUCAAAUGAAUUUCCCCAGAGCAAAAUAAGCAUGUGGAAUUCCUUAAAACAAAAGCAGACUUUUGAAAUAAGAUUGUGAACUAUUGUCAUUAAAGUCAAUUUACAAUGAUAUCAGAGGAAAUUAUGUUCAUAAUUAUAUAAAAGUUAUUUGAAAGUUUAAAAUAGUUUAUUUAAUGAGCAAUAUUGUUACUUUAUGUCAUGUCCAUUCCUUUCUUAACACAAAGUUCUUCCUUAAGCUCAAGAUUAUUGAUUCAUUUGAUUUUUUUUCUUUUCAUCAAUGUUUCAAUUUUCAGAAUGACCUCAAAGAUGAUUUUUACUCCCUAAAGAAGGAGAAAUACAAUAGGUUACAUUUCUGGUCUGAUAAUUCUCUGAGAGUCCUUGUGCAAAUAAUGAGAACUAGCAAAAUGGGCAGAAAGAAGAAAAGAAAGAGGAAGCAGGCAGUGUUCAAGUGCAGGAGCUUGUGUUUUGGAAGAGGAGUUGGUGGGGGAAGGGAGUGGCCUUGAUGAGGCAAAGAAGUGUGUCAGUAAACAGAAUGGCAGAGGACAAAAACCAUGCCAAUCACAUACCUGGAAACAAGCACGGAUAAGGAAAGAUGGAAGGAGUACAGUAGUCCCCACUUGUCUGGGGUUUUUGUUACACAUGGAACAGUACAAUAAGAUAUUUAGAGAGAAGAAGAAAGACCACAUUCACAUAACCUUUAUCAUGAGGCUGAACCAGUUUGCAGUCC